rnacentral:rRNA from 1 species
GAUGAACGCUGGCGGCAUGCCUAAUACAUGCAAGUCGAACGAGAGGAAGGAAAGCUUGCUUUUCUGAAUCUAGUGGCGAACGGGUGAGUAACACGUAGGUAACCUGCCCAUGUGCCCGGGAUAACUUCUGGAAACGGAUGCUAAAACCGGAUAGGUAGCAGACAAGCAUUUGACUGCUAUUAAAGUGGCUAAGGCCAUGAACAUGGAUGGACCUGCGGUGCAUUAGCUAGUUGGUGAGGUAACGGCCCACCAAGGCGACGAUGCAUAGCCGGACUGAGAGGGCGGACGGCCACAUUGGGACUGGGACACGGCCCAAACUCCUACGGGAGGCAGCGGUAGGGAAUUUUCGUCAAUGGGGGGAACCCUGAACGAGCAAUGCCGCGUGAGUGAGGAAGGUCUUCGGAUCGUAAAGCUCUGUUGUAAGAGAAAAACGACAUUCAUAGGGAAUGAUGAGUGAGUGAUGGUAUCUUACCAGAAAGUCACGGCUAACUACGUGCCAGCCGCCGCCGUAA